rnacentral:snRNA from 1 species
GUGCUCACUUCAGCAGUACAUACACUAAAAUUGAAAUGAUACAGAGAUUAGCAUGGUCCCUGAACAAGGAUGACAGGCAAAUUCGUGAAGCAUUCCAUAUUAAA